AUUGAACGCUGGCGGCAUGCCUUACACAUGCAAGUCGAACGGUAACGGGCCUUCGGGUGCCGACGAGUGGCGGACGGGUGAGUAAUACAUCGGAACGUGCCCGAUCGUGGGGGAUAACGAGGCGAAAGCUUUGCUAAUACCGCAUACGAUCUACGGAUGAAAGCCGGGGACCGCAAGGCCUUGCGCGGACGGAGCGGCCGAUGGCCGAUUAGGUAGUUGGUGGGAUAAAAGCUUACCAAGCCGACGAUCUGUAGCUGGUCUGAGAGGAUGAUCGGCCACACUGGGACGGAGACACGGCCCAGACUCCUACGGGAGGCAGCAGUGGGGAAUUUUGGACAAUGGGCGCAAGCCUGAUCCAGCCAUGCCGCGUGCAGGAUGAAGGCCUUCGGGUUGUAAACUGCUUUUGUACGGAACGAAAAGCCUUCUUUUAAUACAGGAGGGUCAUGACGGUACCGUAAGAAUAAGCACCGGCUAACUACGUG
rnacentral:rRNA from 1 species